GAAAAAAAAAUGGCCUAAGUGGUUAGAGCAUCCGCCUCGAAUGCGGGAGAUCGCGGGUUCGAAACCAGGUCGAGUCA